CCUACGGGUGGCAGCAGUGGGGAAUAUUGCACAAUGGGGGAAACCCUGAUGCAGCGACGCCGCGUGAGUGAAGAAGUAAUUCGUUACGUAAAGCUCUAUCAGCAGGGAAGAAAUACUGACCUUACGGUCAGCAGACGGUAUCUGAGUAAGAAGCCCCGGCUAACUACGUGCCAGCAGCCGCGGUAAUACGUAGGGGGCAAGCGUUAUCCGGAUUUACUGGGUGUAAAGGGAGCGUAGACGGUGCGCCAAGUCUGGAGGGAAAUGCCGCAGCUUAACUGCGGAACUGCGUUGGAAACUGGCGAACUAGAGUGCGGGAGGGGUAAGCGGAAUGCCUGGUGUAGCGGUGAAAUGCGUAGAUAUUAGGAGGAACACCGGUGGCGAAGGCGGCUUACUGGACCGUAACUGACGUUGAGGCUCGAAAGCGUGGGGAGCAAACAGGAUUAGAUACCCGGGUAGUC
rnacentral:rRNA from 1 species